UACGUAGGCAGCGAGCGUUGUUCGGAAUUACUGGGCGUAAAGAGCGUGUAGGCGGCCAAGCAGGUCAGCUGUGAAAACUCGAGGCUCAACCUCGAGACGUCGGUUGAAACCGCUUGGCUAGAGUCCGGAAGAGGAGAGUGGAAUUCCCGGUGUAGCGGUGAAAUGCGCAGAUAUCGGGAAGAACACCCGUGGCGAAGGCGGCUCUCUGGGACGGUACUGACGCUGAGACGCGAAAGCGUGGGGAGCGAACAGG
rnacentral:rRNA from 1 species